rnacentral:rRNA from 1 species
AACGAACGCUGGCGGCAUGCCUAACACAUGCAAGUCGAACGGAUGGUUUCGGCCAUCAGUGGCGCACGGGUGAGUAACGCGUGGGAAUCUGCCCGGCAGUGGGGGAUAACCUCUGGAAACGGAGGCUAAUACCGCAUACGCCCCUUGGGGGAAAGGCUUGCUGCUGUCGGAGGAGCCCGCGUCGGAUUAGGUAGUUGGUGGGGUAACGGCCUACCAAGCCUGUGAUCCGUAGCUGGUCUGAGAGGAUGAUCAGCCACACUGGAACUGAGACACGGUCCAGACUCCUACGGGAGGCAGCAGUGGGGAAUAUUGCACAAUGGGCGAAAGCCUGAUGCAGCCAUGCCGCGUGUGUGAAGAAGGCUCUAGGGUUGUAAAACACUUUCAGUAGGGAGGAAAGUCGAUAGUUAAUACCUAUCGGCCGUGACGUUACCUACAGAAGAAGCACCGGCUAACUCCGUGCCAGCAGCCGCGGUAAAGUAGACGU